rnacentral:rRNA from 1 species
GUGUCAGCAGCCGCGGUAAUACAGAGGGUGCGAGCGUUGUUCGGAAUUAUUGGGCGUAAAGCGCGUGUAGGCGGCCAUGCAAGUCAGGUGUGAAAGCCCUCGGCUUAACCGAGGAAGUGCGCCUGAAACUGCUUGGCUUGAGUACCGGAGAGGGCGGUGGAAUUCCCGGUGUAGAGGUGAAAUUCGUAGAUAUCGGGAGGAACACCAGCGGCGAAGGCGACCGCCUGGACGGCUACUGACGCUGAGACGCGAAAGCGUGGGGAGCAAACAGGAUUAGAAACCCUGGUAGUCC